UACCCCCAGCUCUCCCACUGCCCUGCUUUCUGGCCUGGGUUUUCCGGGUUGUAAAGCAAAGAUGCCUGGGGCGGGAUGCAGGCUGCCCAGGGAGGCAACCCUCGUUAGGGAGGGUCCAUCAACGCUCUCAGACCCAGGAAAGAGAAAGCCCUGGCCCUGACUCAGAAUUGGAUUCUAGCUGGAGGCGUCCUCUCCGUGGCUGGCUCCAGGGAAAGAUGGGGAAACUGAGGCCCGAGAGGUGCUGUCGGUGCCCCCGUGGGGAAGUUCGGUACCACGACUGGGAAACUGAGGCUCGAGGAUUUGGAGCUUGGAAUGGAUGGAGCUGUCACUGAACGUGGGUCAGCCUGUCUCCAGAAGCCACACUGAAUGUUCCCUUCGAUGCACAAACAACAAAAUCAUGAACAAAGGCCCACCUCGCUGCACACAGAGCCGCUCCUGGCUGACUUAGGCUCUCUCCGUGGAUGCAAGUACAGCGGCCCCUCCGAUGCCAACAACUCUGCCUGCUGCGGAAGGCCAGCCCGUUCUCUGCAGCCCUGAGAGGGCAAGAGUGGACACAACCUCUGUGCCCAUCCACCGGGGACUGGAUCACCGCGCGCAGGGGCAUGCGCACAAGGGAACACUAUUCAGUCACGAGGAAGAGCGAGGUCGCCACACGUAUAGACCUGGAAAGGAGACUGUAAUGUGUAAAGGAAAAUAAAUUGCCAAACAGGAUGUAGAGCACUGCCCGACUGUUAUCAAAAGAAGUAUUUAGAUGGGCUUCUAUUGACAGAAGAAACUUAAGACAGAAGUCUUAAUCUCUGGACGCUGGUUAUCUAGGGAGUUGAAUUGGGAGGUGUUGGGAGGGAGACGAUUUUACUACUUUCUUUAUACCUUCUGUGGUGUAACAAUGACGAUGGCUCAUUUUGCUAAUUAAAAAAAUCAGCAAAUGGUGGGGGGGGGGGCGGGGAGUGGGGCAUCCUGGGUGUCUGCAAAAGGUACCAGAACUUACUUCCCAGCCUCAGUUCAGGCAAAGUGGGGGGUCCGUCCACAGGGCCGGGGUUCUUUUCUCCCCUCCAGAUGGCUUUCUCUCCAUCUGCCUCAGCAGGGGGACUACUGGGCACCUUUCAGCAUCACUCCCUUAAGUUGGGACCAAGAGGCAUUCUGAGACGAACCGCAGGGUCUUGGCCUAGAGACGUCUGGAAUCUUCAGAGUGAGACAGUGAGGAAACUGAGUCUCAGAAGGGAGCCCUGGGGAGCAGACCCAGGGGGGUUCUGUGCCCCAGCCUCUUCAAGGACAGAAUCAUCCAACCACCAAGUCAUUCCCCAAGAGACACCAGGCAAGAACAGUGAGUGCGGUGGACACGGGAAGGAUGCCGGUGACAGAGCCACCUCCGCAAUGCAGUGCACGCAUUGACAUGGUCCUCAUGGGAGGUACCAUGGGCUCCAGCUGAAGGUCAGAGAGAAGGCCAUGGCCAAGGUCACUGUGCUGGAAAGCAUCACGGCUGGCUUUGGAGCCCUGGUUGGUCCAUCUGAUGGCAAAGACCUCCUUGCCCAGACCCCAGCUCAGCGUCCAGCGCCGAUCAGAGCCCCGUGCUCGGUGCUGCAGAGCGCUUGGCAUCCAGCAUAUGCUUAACACCCAGUUAGCCUCCCUCCUUGCCCUGGCCCUGCCAGGGUGUGACCUUGGCCGUGUCAUUCUGCGCUUCCAGGCCUCAGUUCCCUAUCUGUGCAGGGAGGGUGCUGCCCCGGGGGGUGUCCUAGCUCCCCUCGCAGCCUCAACAUCCUAGACUUCCACUGCAGAAGCCAGGAAGAGUUGGUGGGGUCCCCCGGGGCUGGGGCAAAUUUGGGGGCCAGGGAUCCUUUCUGGAGGGACCCAGGAGAGCCCCGCCGACAGCCCCCAGCACCCCCCAAAACAGCAGCCCCGGCCAAGCCUGGAUCCCCACCUCCAUCCCUUGUCCCAUUCCACCAGGCUUGGUCCUCCCCCCCACCCAUCACACCGACACCCUUGCCUCUGACCGCGGCUGCCCCCCACACUGGCCGGGGCCCGAAGCGCCUUGAAAAAUCUCUCUCUGGCAUCCCUUCCCCAACACACAGCCCCAACUGGCAGCGAGGUGAGCAGAGAGUGAGGGGGAGAGAGGAGAGAGCAGAGAGGGAGGGAAAUGCAAAUGUUUUUUAUCCUCCUUUUCUUUUAAACGCUGAAACCCGCCUCGACAGCCUCUGAAAAUAAACGGCACCGACUUGCUGGGA